AUUGAACGCUGGCGGCAUGCCUUACACAUGCAAGUCGAACGGCAGCACGGGUGCUUGCCCCUGGUGGCGAGUGGCGAACGGGUGAGUAAUACAUCGGAACAUGUCCUGUAGUGGGGGAUAGCCCGGCGAAAGCCGGAUUAAUACCGCAUACGAUCCACGGAUGAAAGCGGGGGACCUUCGGGCCUCGCGCUAUAGGGUUGGCCGAUGGCUGAUUAGCUAGUUGGUGGGGUAAAGGCCUACCAAGGCGACGAUCAGUAGCUGGUCUGAGAGGACGACCAGCCACACUGGGACUGAGACACGGCCCAGACUCCUACGGGAGGCAGCAGUGGGGAAUUUUGGACAAUGGGCGAAAGCCUGAUCCAGCAAUGCCGCGUGUGUGAAGAAGGCCUUCGGGUUGUAAAGCACUUUUGUCCGGAAAGAAAUCCUUGACUCUAAUACAGUCGGGGGAUGACGGUACCGGAAGAAUAAGCACCGGCUAACUACGUGC
rnacentral:rRNA from 1 species